UACCAGCAGCCCCGAGUGGUCGGGACGUUUAUUGGGCCUAAAGGCAAUCCGUAGCCGGUUCUACGAGUCUUCCGUUAAAAUCCAACUGCUUAACAGGUGGGCUGCGGAAGAUACUAUAGAGCUAAGGAGGCGGGAGAGGCAAGCGGUACUGAUGGGUAGGGGUAAAAUCCGUUGAUCCAUUGAAGACCACCAGUGGCGAAGGCGGCCUGCCAGAACGCGCUCG
rnacentral:rRNA from 1 species